AAUGCCAGACAAAAGACCAAUGAUCUUUCCAUCUCAUCAUGACCACCCAGAGCCGUAGAAUACUGUUAUCCAAGAGCCCUGGGCCCCGCCCCUCAGUCUGUUUUACCUGAAUACACCCCAACAGGAAAACAGAGAUUUCCCCAAAUCUCCACUUUGUCCAGUUUUCAGAAGCCUUCGUUUUCGGUGGGCAGGGCUAUCAUUGGAGUGUAAACAAUACGUGCAAACACA